UUUGUUUAAGAGUUCUCUCGAUUUAAAGAGACGGUUAUAUAUAAAAGUUGAUUUAGAUAAUGAAGCGUAAAUUUUUAAAAAAUAUUCUUUUAAUACUCUUAAUUUUUAACUUUUCAAUAUCGGAAGCGUUUAUCUAUCGGUUGAUAACAGAAGCAUUAGAAAAUAAUGUGGCUGGAGAACCGAUAACACAUCAAAGAACCACUUGGCAUUUUGAUCCAGAAGUGAGCAAACGACGAAGAGCUUUGUUCUAUGAGACUUCUGGUUUUCGUGCUGCUAAAUUUAUUGAACGUAUUGGUUUAGGCACCGAUGGGCAAGAGGAGAAACGUCGCAUCGAGCAGCAAUUACGUGAUGACGUAAUCCUGAUGUCGGCAAUCUUUACUCGGAGGAACAACAUAUGGAUUCGAAAUAUGGGAAGAAAAUGGGUAACUUUCCAGUAUUUCGCGAAUAUAUUUAUCAAAGUCCAUCAAUGAUACCGUCAAAUUUUUGAAUUUGGGAAAAAGAAAUACACGAAGAAGAUUAACCCUCAUCAAAUUGUAAGCCACUGUUGCUACUGUCGCUAUAUAGAUGUUUGUAAUGAUCUUACAUUUGAGCUGCCGGAAAAUAAAGACUAAACCUGCAAUUUCAAUAGUGAAAAACAAACCUGAUGAUCCAUAUAAAAAGCUCUGUCGGAGAGGGCUGUAAAGGGGCAAGAAAAACUCGCAAAAGAUUAGAGUGAUGUCGUUAUGGAUUCAAAUGGCUGCCCGCUGCUCUUUGGAGAAGAAAUGAUUGGAAUAGUGUCGUUGAAUAGCGGGUCUGGCAGAUAUAUAAGUUCAAAACGAUAGUGACAUAACAUAGUGAGAUAACAUUUAUGUCCAACACUAAGCAAUUGCUUAAGAAAGUAUUUUGAACUGGAUUAGUUACGAUGCAGAGAUACGAGAAGCUCAUAUCUGAGUUUUUAAGAAAUCAGUUUCUUCUGGAACUCUUCUGCAUAUGUGAUCUACAGCGUCAACGUCAUGAUAAUGAGAUGAAAAUAUUUGUCUAAAAAUAAAACUUAGAUUCGGAACAGCAAGCUUCAUGUGCUAUUAGCCAUGAAUGACUAUGGGAACCUCAGCCACAUAAUAAAUGCAACAUGUACGACGUAACCAGUGGAGAAUUGUUUGCGAUAGCGCCAAUGAAAAAGUAUAAUGUGGGUCUGUCCACAGUUCUUUUAACGGUUUUGUACAUUUUUUGGGUGGCGAUACUGACGACAUGGAACUGACCGCAGAAUACUACGAUGCCAUUUUGAACCAAUGGACACAUAUUACUCCAAAGAAGUACGAUCAUUCUUUGUUUGGGGCGUGUUUUUAAGAGGAUGCCUGUAUACGCGAUUGGUGAACGCAACAGUUCGGCUGUGGAAGGCAAUGCAAUCACCAAUAAAUGGUACAAUUGCCUAAACACUUCAUAGCUAUAUUAAAAAGAUAAUCGGGUGAAGGUAUUACAAAUAGUAUUUAUAGAAUGGAAGCGAAAAAUAGACAGUUGAAUGAUCAUUCCGCUUCGGAGGAGCAGCUCCCAUCCGCUACCAAAGUAAAUAAAGUAAGGGAAGCUAUGCCGUUUUAUAAACGAAUUUUCUGGUUUUAAACGAAUUGCUUCACCGCUUCAGACGAGGUUAGGUGGAAGAAGCUACUUGAGCCAGAAAAUAAUAUAUGUCAAUUAUUUGGUACCAUAGAGCGCUGUUAGCGCGCCGCAUAAUUGGAAUUGUGAAAAAAGGGUGCUUAAGUACAAGUGAUAUUUGAACGUUUUAAUAGCACAUAUAUUCAUUUAAUUUUAGAGUUCAUGGCGCUAAUAUGCGACAUCGUAAAGGUAAGGGCGCCUGACCAAAGAAUUUAAAAAAUAUCUUAAUGUGCUUGUCCGCCAGGGUAGUCGAGUACGCAAAGGAUC